rnacentral:rRNA from 1 species
GAGGUUAAACGGCCGCGGUAUUCUGACCGUGCAAAGGUAGCAUAAUCACUUGUUCCCUAAUUAGGGACUAGAAUGAACGGCAAAACGAGGGUUUAACUGUCUCUUAUUUCUUAUCAGUGAAAUUGACCUUCCCGUGAAGAGGCGGGAAUAUCUAAAUAAGACGAGAAGACCCUAUGGAGCUUUAAUUUACUAACUUAUUUCUUAAUUAUAAUAAUCUAAUGAAUUAACAUCUGAAAACUAAGUUAAUAAUUUAGGUUGGGGUGACCUCGGAGAAUAAAAUAACCUCCGAAAGAUUCUAAUUUAGAUCGACAGAUCAAAAUAUAAACAAGUUAAUCAAAUUGACCCAAUCACUUGAUCAACGAACCAAGUUACCCUAGGGAUAACAGCGCUAUCUUAUUUGAGAGUUCAUAUCGAAAAUAGGGUUUACGACCUCGAUGUUGGAUCAGGAUAUCCCAA